rnacentral:rRNA from 1 species
UACGGAGGGUGCAAGCGUUAUCCGGAUUCACUGGGCUUAAAGGGUGCGUAGGUGGGUCUGUAAGUCCGUGGUGAAAUCUCUAGGCUUAACCUGGAAACUGCCAUGGAUACUAUAGGUCUUGAAUACUGUGGAGGUCAGCGGAAUAUGUCAUGUAGCGGUGAAAUGCUUAGAUAUGACAUAGAACACCAAUUGCGAAGGCAGCUGGCUACACAAAUAUUGACACUGAGGCACGAAAGCGUGGGGAUCAAACAGG